GACGAACGCUGGCGGCGUGCUUAACACAUGCAAGUCGAACGGAAAGGCUCUGCUUUUGUGGGGUGCUCGAGUGGCGAACGGGUGAGUAACACGUGAGUAACCUGCCCUUGACUUUGGGAUAACUUCAGGAAGCUGGGGCUAAUACCGGAUAGGAGCUCCUGCUGCAUGGUGGGGGUUGGAAAGUUUCGGCGGUUGGGGAUGGACUCGCGGCUUAUCAGCUUGUUGGUGGGGUAGUGGCUUACCAAGGCUUUGACGGGUAGCCGGCCUGAGAGGGUGACCGGCCACAUUGGGACUGAGAUACGGCCCAGACUCCUACGGGAGGCAGCAGUGGGGAAUAUUGCACAAUGGGCGGAAGCCUGAUGCAGCAACGCCGCGUGCGGGAUGACGGCCUUCGGGUUGUAAACCGCUUUCGCCUGUGACGAAGCGUGAGUGACGGUAAUGGGUAAAGAAGCACCGGCUAACUACGUG
rnacentral:rRNA from 1 species